GGGUCGUUAGCUCAGUUGGUAGAGCAGUUGACUUUUAAUCAAUUGCGUCAUCACCCACCA
rnacentral:tRNA from 1 species